rnacentral:rRNA from 1 species
AGAGUUUGAUUAUGGCUCAGAUUGAACGCUGGCGGUAUGCUUAACACAUGCAAGUCGAACGGAAACGAUACUAGCUUGCUAGUAGGCGUCGAGUGGCGGACGGGUGAGUAACGCGUAGGAAUCUGCCUGAUAGUGGGGGAUAGCCCGGAGAAAUUCGGAUUAAUACCGCAUAAUCUAUUCGUAGUAAAGUGGGGGACUUUCGAGCCUCACGCUAUCAGAUGAGCCUGCGUAAGAUUAGCUUGUUGGUAGGGUAAAAGCCUACCAAGGCGACGAUCUUUAGCUGGUCUGAGAGGAUGAUCAGCCACAUCGGGACUGAGACACGGCCCGAACUCCUACGGGAGGCAGCAGUGGGGAAUAUUGGACAAUGGGGGCAACCCUGAUCCAGCAAUACCGCGUGUGUGAAGAAGGCCUGAGGGUUGUAAAGCACUUUCAAUUGUGAAGAAAAGUUAACGGUUAAUAACCGUUAGCCUUGACGUUAACUUUAGAAGAAGCACCGGCUAACUCCGUGCCAGCAGCCGCGGUAAUACGGAGGGUGCAAGCGUUAAUCGGAAUUACUGGGCGUAAAGCGUGCGUAGGUGGUUUAUUAAGUCAGAUGUGAAAGCCCCGGGCUUAACCUGGGAACUGCAUUUGAAACUGGUAAACUAGAGUAUGGUAGAGGAAAGUGGAAUUUCUGGUGUAGCGGUGAAAUGCGUAGAUAUCAGAAGGAACAUCAAUGGCGAAGGCAGCUUUCUGGACCAAUACUGACACUGAGGUACGAAAGCGUGGGUAGCAAACAGGAUUAGAUACCCUGGUAGUCCACGCCGUAAACGAUGAUAACUAGCCGUUGGGGGGGAUUUACCCUUUAGUGGCGAAGCUAACGCGUUAAGUUAUCCGCCUGGGGAGUACGGCCGCAAGGUUAAAACUCAAAGGAAUUGACGGGGACCCGCACAAGCGGUGGAGCAUGUGGUUUAAUUCGAUGCAACGCGAAGAACCUUACCUGGUCUUGACAUCCUGCGAACUUUCUAGAAAUAGAUUGGUGCCUUCGGGAACGCAGUGACAGGUGCUGCAUGGCUGUCGUCAGCUCGUGUCGUGAGAUGUUGGGUUAAGUCCCGUAACGAGCGCAACCCCUAUCCUUAUUUGCCAGCACAUUAUGGUGGGAACUAUAAGGAGACUGCCGGUGAUAAACCGGAGGAAGGCGGGGACGACGUCAAGUCAUCAUGGCCCUUACGACCAGGGCUACACACGUGCUACAAUGGGAAGGACAAAGAGCCGCGAAGCCGCGAGGUGUAGCUAAUCUCAUAAACCUUUUCGUAGUCCGGAUUGGAGUCUGCAACUCGACUCCAUGAAGUCGGAAUCGCUAGUAAUCGUAGAUCAGAAUGCUACGGUGAAUACGUUCCCGGGUCUUGUACACACCGCCCGUCAUACCAUGGGAGUGGGUUGCACCAGAAGUGGCUAGUCUAACUUAGUGAGGACGGUCACCACGGUGUGAUUCAUGACUGGGGUAAAGUCGUAACAAGGUA